rnacentral:rRNA from 1 species
UACAGAGGUCUCAAGCGUUGUUCGGAUUCAUUGGGCGUAAAGCGCGCGCAGGCGGUCCUUUAAGUCUGAUGUGAAAGCCCACGGCUCAACCGUGGAGGGUCAUUGGAAACUGGGGGACUUGAGUACAGAAGAGAAGAGUGGAAUUCCACGUGUAGCGGUGAAAUGCGUAGAGAUGUGGAGGAACACCAGUGGCGAAGGCGACUCUUUGGUCUGUAACUGACGCUGAGGCGCGAAAGCGUGGGGAGCAAACAGG